GAAUCAUAAGGGCCAAGCCUCUUCUAUUCAAAUCCACUCCAGCUGACUAAUCUUAUAAAACGAAUAAGGAAGGACAGGCUAGACCCUGACUGGGGUCUCUGUAAGUAGUCUCCACUAACUUUCCUCAUCUCUGCCUCAUGGCUGUUACAUUCAGCUUCUACUAAACGAUAACAGGAGGAAGAAAAGAGCUUGUAUAGCUUCCCUCCUUACUGUAAGGUCUCAAAAUGAGCAAUUGGAGAGAAAGCCAAAAAUGAAACCUAAAAUGGAAGCCACUGAACCAUUUGGAAAUUCAAAGUCAUUGAAAGAAAAGCUGUGACUAAUCUCCAAUGUACUGCAACUCCGAAGCAGCAUAUGGCUGAAUGUUUUCUCAUGAAGUUUGCUCAUUGAACUCGGAGGGUCAAGAUCCUCAGGCGUUUUCCAUCCAUGCUUCUGAAGACCCUCGGAUUUCAAAGAAUGCCUCAAGGACCAUCCAGCAGGGAAAGAGGAGAGGAAAUGAGAGCGAUAUUAGAGCAGGAGGAGCAUUAUGCCUUCUUCUUCUACUUCAAUAAAGUAAAUUCUGACAAUAUGUAUUUUAUAUUUUGGGCUGUGGAGUGAGGUUUAAUUAAAAGCAUGGACUUUGGAUCUAAAAAGCCUUUAUAAACCCUAAGACGAGUUGAUUUGAUGAAUCCAUUCUCUUGCAGCAAUUUAAGAAUCCAGGUUCUUCAGAACUGAGAUUAAAGUUACGGUCAUUUUCUUAAGAUGAAAUAAAUGAAUGGGAAAAAAUAACAUCCAGAUGUUCUAAUAUUGGGUUAAACUUUUUAAUAAAUUGGACCCCUUUACCUGGAAAAGAUGGGAACCUGAACGCAAGCAAGAUUCAGUGCACAAAUGAGUGCAUAUGCAAAUCAAGUUAUGCUUCCCACCGUGUAUUUUUGUACCACAUACCAGCUACCUCCAUGAAAUGAUUCUGUUUUCAUCCUAGCUACCCUGGAUGUCCCACAGAUAAACACUACCUUCAGUCACAUUCUCACACCACGGUAUUCACCUGGUUGAACCUAAACAAAGAUAGAGUUUCAUGUAGCCAUUUCUAUUCUUAAAUUUUAAAGACUCACUGAAAUUAAACAUAUGAUGAUUUGCAUGGCACUAAAGGCAGACAGAAAUUCUGAUUCAGAUUUAAAACAUUAUAUUAGCUCAUCAGUCCUUCCCAAAGUAUGUAUGGUGUCUUAUUCCUACAAUGAAUGGAAACUGAUAAUCAAAUGAUGCACAGAUUCCAUGAAACUUCACUUUGUAUAUGGUGCAUAAUAGCAGAAAAGAGAUCAUUGUAACUACUUCUGAUGACUAAAUUUCUGUAUAAA
rnacentral:lncRNA from 1 species